UCGAAUAAACUUGAACAGGCUGUUGCUGGUCCCUCGGGGUAUGUGCACGCUUGUCUCAUCUUUGUUAUUUUCUCCCACUUGUGCACCUUUUGUAGACUCUGGAGCUUUGUGGAUUUUCUGAAAAUUCGAGUCGGGACUGCCGUGCUUUGUUGUGAAGUCGGCUUUGCCUUGCAUUCUCCAGGUCUAUGUCAUUUUCACAACCUCUUGAAACAUGUUUAGAAUGUUGGAUAAAAUGAAAUAUACAACUUUCAGCAACGGAUCUCUUGGCUCUCGCAUCGAUGAAGAACGCAGCGAAAUGCGAUAAGUAAUGUGAAUUGCAGAAUUCAGUGAAUCAUCGAAUCUUUGAACGCAUCUUGCGCUCCUUGGUAUUCCGAGGAGCAUGCCUGUUUGAGUGUCAUUUAACUUCUCAACCACAUUGGAUAUUUUUUUUCCGAUGCCGGCUUGGAUGUGGGGGUUGUUUGCAGGCUUUUUGUAACAAAAAAGGUCGGCUCCCCUGAAAUGUAUUAGUGGUAUCUGAGGCUAUUACUAUUAGGUGUGAUAAUUAUCUAUGCCUUUUGGGUAUGCCGCAUGAACAGAUUAUGCUGCUUCUAACGAAAACUAUUUUGAUGAAUUUGACCUCAAAUCAGGUAGGACUACCCGCUGAACUUAA
rnacentral:rRNA from 1 species